rnacentral:rRNA from 1 species
AUUGAACGCUGGCGGCAUGCCUUACACGAUGCAAGUCGAACGGCAGCACGGGAGCAAUCCUGGUGGCGAGUGGGCGAACGGGUGAGUAAUAUAUCGGAACGUGCCCAGUCGUGGGGGAUAACGUAGCGAAAGCUACGCUAAUACCGCAUACGAUCUAUGGAUGAAANCGGGGGAUCGCAAGACCUCGCGCGAUUGGAGCGGCCGAUAUCAGAUUAGGUAGUUGGUGAGGUAAAGGCUCACCAAGCCGACGAUCUGUAGCUGGUCUGAGAGGACGACCAGCCACACUGGGACUGAGACACGGCCCAGACUCCUACGGGAGGCAGCAGUGGGGAAUUUUGGACAAUGGGCGCAAGCCUGAUCCAGCAAUGCCGCGUGCAGGAUGAAGGCCUUCGGGUUGUAAACUGCUUUUGUACGGAACGAAACGGUGAGCUCUAAUACAGUUUGCUAAUGACGGUACCGUAAGAAUAAGCACCGGCUAACUACGUG